CCAGCACGGCAUAUACAUUUUAUAUAUGCAUAUAUAUAUAUGCUAAAAUAAUCAGAAAUGAAGACAAAUUUUACUAUAAUACCACCUAAUCAGAUCAGCCAUCUGGGGACUUGGUGUUAGGCCUCUGUCCAUUUGAUCUCAGACCCUGGCAGCCCUCUCUGCUCGCCCUCGAAUCACAAGGAACUACAUCUCCCAGGCUCCCUUGCACUCCGCUUCCUGAUAUGUUGGGCCAGCUACAGAAGCUGACAGAAGGGCAGAGGAAGGAGGAAGCCAGUACAUCUCUCUGCUUUGGGAAGCAACUCCACUGGUGACUACAUCUUCAAGGCUCCAGCUCCUCUGAAGUUCCAGUUUCACUGGGUAGUCUUAGCUCCUGGACUCUGGAGUGUCUUUGAUUCCUCACCCGUAAAAUGGAGUACUUACUGUCUCCUCAGGAUGGCUGCUUACUGUCUGCUUCACAGACUGACAAAGAUAGCUCAAAGAGAACACAGAGGUCAAUCACAUGCUCUAUGGCUAUAGACAGACCUGGCCUGAAUCUCAGCUCAGCCACUUAACCGUGUGACCUGUGGCAAGUUAAUUCAUCUCUCUGGGCCUCAGUUUCGUCUCCUACAUGCUUCUUUAUGUCAUGCUUCUGCUCAAAAACCCUACAGUGGCUCCCAGAAUCAUUCAGAAUCAAGACCAUAGAAACUAUCUUUCUCUGGGGGUCCCUACCCUCCACUCUGUCUAUUGUGGCCCCUGCCCUUGCAGAGCCAAUCAAGCCCAUAGACCCCCUGCUGGUCCUCCACCUCACCAGGCACGCUCCUGAUUCAGAGGCUCUGCACUUCCUGUUCCCCCUGCCUAGAACCACCUCCCUCAAGUUUUAUUUUCCUUUUUUUUUUUUUUAAGAUGUUUUGUAUUUAUUUGACAGAGAGAGGGCAUGAGGGCAAGCAGGGGGAAGUGGCAGGUGGGGGAGGAGAAGCAGACUCCCCACUGAGCAGGGAGCCUGAUCUGGGACUCAAUCCCAGGACCCUGGGAUCAUGAUCUGAGCUAAAGGCAGAUGGUUCACCGACUGAGCCAUCCAGGGCCCUCCCCAAGUUUUCUCUUGGCUUCCUCCCUCACUCUAGCCAGGUCUCUGCUCCAAUGUCACCUCCUGAAGAAAAAGCCCCCAAAUUCCAUCACCCUCUAAGCCAGUGGUUCUUUUGUGUGUGUGUAUUUUUUUUAAAUUUAGGUUUGAUUUCCCAGCAUAUAGUAUAACACCCAGUGCUCAUCCUGCCAAGUGCCCCCCUCAGUGUCCAUCACCCAGUCACCCCA